AAACCAGCACCUCAAGUGGUCAGGAUGAUUAUUGGGCCUAAAGCAUCCGUAGCCGGCUCUGUAAGUUUUCGGUUAAAUCUGUACGCUUAACGUACAGGCUGCCGGGAAUACUGCAGAGCUAGGGAGUGGGAGAGGUAGACGGUACUCGGGAGGAAGUGGUAAAAUGCUUUGAUCUCUCGAUGACCACCUGUGGCGAAGGCGGUCUACCAGAACACGUCCGACGGUGAGGGAUGAAGCUGGGGGAGCAAACCGGAUUAGAAACCCCGGUAGUCC
rnacentral:rRNA from 1 species